rnacentral:tRNA from 1 species
AUUUAGGUAGUUUAUUAGAAUUUGAUAUUGAAGAUAUCACGGAGAUUUAUAUCCUUAAAUA